AGAACGAACGCUGGCGGCAUGCCUAACACAUGCAAGUCGAACGCGUGUAGCGAUACACGAGUGGCGGACGGGUGAGUAACGCGUGGGAACCUGCCCUGGAGUGUGGGAUAACCGAGGGAAACUUCGGCUAAUACCGCAUACGACCUGAGGGUGAAAGAUUUAUCGCUCUAGGAGGGGCCCGCGUCGGAUUAGCUAGUUGGUGGGGUAAAGGCCUACCAAGGCAGUGAUCCGUAGCUGGUCUGAGAGGAUGAUCAGUCACACUGGGACUGAGACACGGCCCAGACUCCUACGGGAGGCAGCAGUGGGGAAUAUUGGACAAUGGGGGCAACCCUGAUCCAGCAAUGCCGCGUGAGUGAUGAAGGCCUUAGGGUUGUAAAGCUCUUUCGCGCGCGACGAUGAUGACGGUAGCGCGAGAAGAACGCCCCGGCUAACUUCGCGCCAGCAGCCGC
rnacentral:rRNA from 1 species